AUUGAACGCUGGCGGCAGGCUUAACACAUGCAAGUCGAGCGGGGUGAUGGUGCUUGCACUAUCACUUAGCGGCGGACGGGUGAGUAAUGCUUAGGAAUCUGCCUAUUAGUGGGGGACAACAUCUCGAAAGGGAUGCUAAUACCGCAUACGUCCUAGGGGAGAAAGCAGGGGAUCACUUGUGACCUUGCGCUAAUAGAUGAGCCUAAGUCGGAUUAGCUAGUUGGUGGGGUAAAGGACUACCAAGGCGACGAGCUGUAGCGGGUCUGAGAGGAUGAUCCGCCCCACGGGGACUGAGACACGGCCCAGACUCCUACGGGAGGCAGCAGUGGGGAAUAUUGGACAAUGGGGGGAACCCUGAUCCAGCCAUGCCGCGUGUGUGAAGAAGGCCUUAUGGUUGUAAAGCACUUUAAGCGAGGAGGAGGCUCUUUUGGUUAAUACUCAAGAUGAGUGGACGUUACUCGCAGAAUAAGCACCGGCUAACUCUGUGCCAGCAGCCGCCGUAA
rnacentral:rRNA from 1 species